rnacentral:rRNA from 1 species
GACAGCAGCAGCCGCGGUAAUACGGAGGGUGCAAGCGUUAAUCGGAAUUACUGGGCGUAAAGCGCACGCAGGCGGUCUGUCAAGUCAGAUGUGAAAUCCCCGGGCUUAACCUGGGAACUGCAUUUGAAACUGGCAGGCUAGAGUCUUGUAGAGGGGGGUAGAAUUCCAGGUGUAGCGGUGAAAUGCGUAGAGAUCUGGAGGAAUACCGGUGGCGAAGGCGGCCCCCUGGACAAAGACUGACGCUCAGGUGCGAAAGCGUGGGGAGCAAACAGGAUUAGAUACCCGCGUAGUCCCUGUCUCUUAUAC